UAAAGAUUCAUCGCUGAUAGAUAGGCAUGCGUUCCAUUAGGCAGUUGGCGGGGUAACGGCCCACCAAACCGACGAUGGAUAGGGGUUCUGAGAGGAAGGUCCCCCACAUUGGUACUGAGACACGGACCAAACUCCUACGGGAGGCAGCAGUGAGGAAUAUUGGUCAAUGGGCGUAAGCCUGAACCAGCCAAGUCGCGUGAGGGAUGAAGGUUCUAUGGAUCGUAAACCUCUUUUAUAAGGGAAUAAAGUGUGGGACGUGUCCUGUUUUGUAUGUACCUUAUGAAUAAGGAUCGGCUAACUCCGUGCCAGCAGCCGCGGUAAUACGGAGGAUCCGAGCGUUAUCCGGAUUUAUUGGGUUUAAAGGGUGCGUAGGCGGCCUUUUAAGUCAGCGGUGAAAGUCUGUGGCUCAACCAUAGAAUUGCCGUUGAAACUGGGAGGCUUGAGUAUGUUUGAGGCAGGCGGAAUGCGUGGUGUAGCGGUGAAAUGCUUAGAUAUCACGCAGAACCCCGAUUGCGAAGGCAGCCUGCCAAGCCAUGACUGACGCUGACGCACGAAAGCGUGGGGAUCAAACAGGAUUAGAUACCCUGGUAGUCCACGCAGUAAACGAUGAUCACUAGCUGUUUGCGAUACAGUGUAA
rnacentral:rRNA from 1 species